CGAGCGGCGGAGGGGUGAGUAGUGUGGGGGAAAGUGCCUGAUGGGGGGGGAUAACUAGUGGAAGGGGUAGCUAAUACCGCAUAGCGUCGCAAGACCAAAGAGGGGGACCUUCGGGCCUCUUGCCCUCAUAUGUGCCCAUAUGGGAUUAGCUAGUAGGUGGGGUAACGGCUCCCCUACGCGACGAUCCCUAGCUGGUCUGAGAGGAUGACCCCCCACACUGGAACUGACACACGGUCCAGACUCCUACGGGAGGCAGCAGUGGGGAAUAUUGCACAAUGGGCGCAACCCUGAUGCCCCCGUGCCGCGUGUAUGAAAAAGGCCUUCGGGUUGUAAAGUUCUUUCCGCGGGGAAGAAGGUGUUGAGGUUAAUAACCUCAGCUAUUGACGUUCCCCGCAAAAAAAGCCCCGGCUAUCUCCGUGCCAGCCCCCGCGGUAAUACGGAGGGUGCAAGCGUUAAUCAGAAUUACUGGGCGUAAAGCGCACGCGGGCGGUCUGUCAAGUCAGAUGUGAAAUCCCCGGGCUCAACCUGGGAACUGCAUUCGAAACUGGCAGGCUAGAGUCUUGUAGAGGGGGGUAGAAUUCCAGGUGUAGCGGUGAAAUGCGUAGAGAUCUGGAGGAAUACCGGUGGCGAAGGCGGCCCCCUGGACAAAGACUGACGCUCAGGUGCGAAAGCGUGGGGAGCAAACAGGAUUAGAUACCCUGGUAGUCCACGCCGUAAACGAUGUCGACUUGGAGGUUGUGCCCUUGAGGCGUGGCUUCCGGAGCUAACGCGUUAAGUCGACCGCCUGGGGAGUACGGCCGCAAGGUUAAAACUCAAAUGAAUUGACGGGGGCCCGCACAAGCGGUGGAGCAUGUGGUUUAAUUCGAUGCAACGCGAAGAACCUUACCUACUCUUGACAUCCAGA
rnacentral:rRNA from 1 species